rnacentral:tRNA from 1 species
GGGCGAUUAGCUCAGCGGGAGAGCACUCGCCUCACACGCGAGGGGUCACUGGUUCGAUCCCAGUAUCGCCCACC